rnacentral:rRNA from 1 species
CCAAUAGCGUAUAUUAAAGUUGUUGCAGUUAAAAAGCUCGUAGUUGAAUUUUGGAUUCUUCCAAUUGGUCCAUCUUUUAGAUGAGUACUGGUUGUGUGGGGUCUAUCCGCCUGGUGAUACGUAAUGUCCUUUAUUGGAUGUUGCGGGUAGUCAGGACCUUUACCUUGAAAAAAUUAGAGUGUUUAAAGCAGGCUUAUGCCGGAAUACAUUAGCAUGGAAUAAUAGAAUAGGACGAAGUUGUUUUAUUUUGUUGGUUUCUAGGACAACCGUAAUGAUUAAUAGGGAUAGUUGGUGGCAUUAGUAUUCAAUUGUCAGAGGUGAAAUUCUUGGAUUUAUUGAAGACUAACUACUGCGAAAGCAUUUGCCAAGGAUGUUUUCAUUAAUCAAGAACGAAAGUUAGGGGAUCGAAGACGAUCAGAUACCGUCGUAGUCUUAACCAUAAACUAUGCCGACUAGGGAUCGGGCGAUGUUGUUUCCAUGACUCGCUCGGCACCUUAUG